GCAAAUCAUCCCUCUAAUAUCCACAAGGAUUCAUCCACUGAGGCUGCCCUACCAUCUGGCUGCCCUUCCUCUUCCUCAUUUCUAGUCCUUCCUCAGUGCUAACCUUCAGAAUUAGAGAACUUAAUCGUGGAUUUAUGGAUAAAGCACUCAUGCUUCUGAAAUAGAAGUGAAUUAUCGGCAGUCCAAGAACUCACAGCCGGUGAUCUCCAUUAAUUGUCUCCCAGUACAUAUUUUAAUCCUUUACUCUUAGCCAACAUGGGUUUGGCAGCCAAAGCAUAUGUGCUGGCUUGAGACUCCAGAUUCCAGAGGCACUUCAUUACAAAGCAAUCACCACUGCCUUUGCUGUCUCCUUCCUGACAGCCCGGCUAAGGGGUUUGGACACAAGUAGGUGUAUGCAGUUAACCAGCAGGAGUCCACCCUGGACACACGGUCAUUUAUUCUGAAGGAUUCCUCCUAUACAUCCAGGUUCCUCUACUUAGUUAUCAGCAUGCCCUGAGGUGCUCUCUGACCAUCCAAGUUUAUCACCCCAUCCAGAG